GAUGAACGCUAGCGAUAGGCUUAACACAUGCAAGUCGAGGGGCAUCAGGGUCUUCGGACCGCUGGCGACCGGCGCACGGGUGAGUAACGCGUAUGCAACCUACCCAUAACUUUGGGAUAGCCCGUUGAAAGACGGAUUAAUACCGAAUAACACAGGGGCACCGCAUGGUGAUAUUUGUUAAAGAUUUAUUGGUUAUGGAUGGGCAUGCGUUGGAUUAGCUAGUUGGUUGGGGUAACGGCUCACCAAGGCAACGAUCCAUAGGGGAACUGAGAGGUAUAUCCCCCACAAUGGUACGGAGACACGGACCAGACUCCUACGGGAGGCAGCAGUGAGGAAUAUUGGUCAAUGGGCGAGAGCCUGAACCAGCCAAAUCGCGUGAAGGAUGACUGUAUUAUGUAUUGUAAACUUCUUUUAUGUGGGAAUAAAAAAGGGGCCGCGUCCCUUAUUCCAUGUACCACAUGAAUAAGCAUCGGCUAACUCCGUGCCAGCAGCCGCUGUAA
rnacentral:rRNA from 1 species